GGUGUGAGUGAUAAAUUACAAUGUCGUGGCGCUGGUUGCAGUGGCACAGGCGUCUCGUCCCGCACUUCGCUGGAGACUCACCAUGUGAACAGGAGCCAUCUGACUCACC